rnacentral:rRNA from 2 species
UACAGUCACACUUGUCUUGACUUGGUAUACGCACGUAUAUGAUACACACCACACACACUCCCCGUAUCAUUACGUACAUUAUAGAUCACGCAUCGCGCUAAUCGAUUUCUGUGUCAUUCAUUACACACACACACACACAAUGGAUAACUCAGGGAAAGUUUGGCUAAUACGUACGAGACCCUUCACAUACACUGCAUUAUAUGUAUCGCGACUUCGAGAACAUGCACAAAAMAAAAUACAUAGCAUCCGACCAAAGGUGCAUGUAAUCAGCAGCGCUUUGKACCACAGGCUAUAAUGAAUCGCCCCAAAGMGUCGCGUCACAACACACACUCAGUGGGCAUCAUACGRGAUAAAAUGCAUCUCCCGCUAUAUAAAACACAUGGMCAGCCGGACACCCAUACGUGGGCUKGCUGAKAGCUAUAUAACUAUACACCGCACCUGUCACCCAUUCGUGGGCCGGGUAUGAUUUUUUCCGGAUUCGUUCCUUUCUUUCAUACACGCAGUAUAGUACAAUAGUGAAUCGUGUUAUUUCUACAUUGAGGCGGAUGUGUUGGCGUGAGGGAAUUCAGACCAUUCCCGCUGAAGACGCUGCAUGCGUGCGUACACACACACACCACACACACACGAUUCUCUCGUCACACACGAUAUAUAUUGUAUUUUCUCAGCACUCAAUGGUGGCACUUCAUACUGCCAGUCGCCUCGUGAGAGACAUUGAGCACGCAUUGACCACAUUCGUGUGGCCAUUACGCUGAGCAGACUUUGCAAAGUUUACUUUGCGAAGCGUGUCAUACAAGCAUCUAUAGCAUCAAGUUACGGGUUGGCAAGUGUAUUUUUGAACCUUCAAAGCAGUCACGCAUACGGAGGAGUAGUUUCUGAUCCCAUAGAAGGAGCACAACACAUUGAGAGACCGCUCUUAGUUCUAAGGAACGCAGCAGGCGCGUAAAUUGCCCAAUGUUAGUACCCGAUUCGCAACCGGUGAAUUCAUACGAGUAUUUUUACAUACGGUGCUGACCCGAUAUCUAGUCACACGUGCACAGAGAUAGAAUUGUUAGCAUACAUACAUCCUUGCCAUUACCUCGCACACAUACACGUAAUUGAAUUGUUCACCCGACCAUUCCUUUACUGAGGCAGUGACAAGCUGUAACGGUUGAGUAUAAAAAUGACGAGUGUCUGGCAUUGCCGUCUACGUUCGCGUAGGCUUGGCAUCAUUGCCGACGCUUCGUAUGCUCAAUUGGACUGCGGUGAGUCCAACACACUCAGAACCAUUCACACGCCACCGUAUACGGCUUCGCAAACCUAUACGCUGUGAGUUAUCUGAACACCAUCAAGUAGAGGGCAAGUCUGGUGCCAGCAGCCGCGGUAAUACCAACUCUACUGGCCUAUACAAUCAUUGUUGCGGUUAAGAGGCUCGUAGUUGGAUUGGACUAUCGAACGAUUAUACGACCAUAUUAUGAAUGUGUACUAAAUGUACGUGAAUCGCCUUAGCAACGGUUCACGUUACGAUCUGUAUUCGCACUGCACACACACACAGCAGUAUAGUAACAUGACCGCAUAUCACACGUUAGUAUUAGCACCGCAUGAAGUUAAUCGAGCUAUACGCGUAUCACUGACACAUACGCACACAGCAACUAUGACUAGCUACAUGCGGCUCGACGCACCAUUGAGUGGUUGCAGAAUAAGUGAUUACAUGUCAUAUGACUAAUGAAUAUCGAUACACACAAAACAUACGAAAGACGAAUCCCCNUCACACNUACAAAAUGAUACGCCUUGAUCGAGCCCUGUUGCACUCGUGCGACUAAGCUCUCGAAUAGUAUCCAUUUUUAUACGGUCUCGACGGACGUUUUACUAUGUAUCUAAUCAAUACAUAUCUUUUGCGUGUAAGCUUCAAUGCAAUAACUAUAGCAAUAUGGUUGGCGCAUGCGUGCACUUGAUUUUAGGAGCUUUGAGCUCAUAUUAUCUUGGUUAGAUGCAAGCAUUACUCGUGGCGCAGCGGACUCUGUGUGUGUAUAUUUCGGUAUAUACGUACAUGAUUCACUCGCGUCACAUCAUACAAUUGUAAUGCGACGCACGCUUUAGGCACGCGCUUACUGCAGAAAUGUCUGAGACAUUCCCCUCCGGGGGUAGUAUGCACGCAAGUGUGAAACUUGAAGGAAUUGACGGAAGGGCACCACAAGAACGCGUGGAGCAUGUGGCUUAAUUUGACUCAACGCAGGAAAUCUUACCGGGUCCGGACACACUGAGGAUUGACAGACAAGCGCAGUGAGAGAUUCACGUCUCUUCGCUGUGCAAAAUAUGAUAGCUCUUUCAUAAUUAUGUGAUAGGUGGUGCAUGGCCGUUCUUAGUUCGUGGAGUGAUCUGUCUGCUUAAUUGCGUUUCCAUACAAAGGUGUUCGCAUAACAUAACGCGUUGUACGUCCGCGUACAUCGUAUUGUAUUGAACCCUUUAGGAAUGCAACGAACGAGACCGCAACCUCUUGUUGCACCUUCAGCUGCUCAAGGUGCUCAACUAGAGGGACAGCUGUAUUUAUUUCUUUUAGCCAGAGGAAGGAUGCGGCAAUAACAGGUCUGUGAUGCCCUCAGAUGUCCCGGGCUGCACACGUGCUACAAUGAUCAUUGCACUGCGCAUCUUCUAACAUGGCUUAAUAUUUAUAUUUUGCUAUACACACCCGAGUCGAUAGACAACCUUCUCGGGUAACCCAUUAGAAGUAAUGAUUUCCUAUAUUUCAGCACAUACAUCGUUAUGUGGUCAUGUGCAUUGCACUUCGGUGUAUGCACUCUAUGAUUACGUAACGCGUGCAAAUAUCAAUUCAUGGUGGGGACAGACCAUUGAUAAUUGUUGGUCUCGGUCUUAACUAGGAAUGCCUUGUACGAGUCGGUUCACCAGACCACUCGGAAUACGUCCCUGCCCUUUGUACACACCGCCCGUCGCUCUUACCGAUGGACUUCGCUGUGAGUUUGAGGGACUGGCCGCAUUUCGCGGCUAUAGAAACUCAAACGAACAGUGUGGUCUAAAGGAAAGAGAAGUCGAACAAGGCA